UACCAGCUGGCUGCAACUGUUUAUUAAAAACACAGCACUGUGCAAACACGAAAGUGGACGUAUACGGUGUGACGCCUGCCCGGUGCCGGAAGGUUAAUUGAUGGGGUCAGCGCAAGCGAAGCUCCUGAUCGAAGCCCCGGUAAACGGCGGCCGUAACUAUAACGGUCCUAAGGUAGCGAAAUUCCUUGUCGGGUAAGUUCCGACCUGCACGAAUGGCGUAAUGAUGGCCAGGCUGUCUCCACCCGAGACUCAGUGAAAUUGAACUCGCUGUGAAGAUGCAGUGUACCCGCGGCAAGACGGAAAGACCCCGUGAACCUUUACUAUAGCUUGACACUGAACAUUGAGCCUUGAUGUGUAGGAUAGGUGGGAGGCUUUGAAGCGUGGACGCCAGUCUGCGUGGAGCCGACCUUGAAAUACCACCCUUUAAUGUUUGAUGUUCUAACGUGGACCCGUAAUCCGGGUUGCGGACAGUGUCUGGUGGGUAGUUUGACUGGGGCGGUCUCCUCCUAAAGAGUAACGGAGGAGCACGAAGGUUGGCUAAUCCUGGUCGGACAUCAGGAGGUUAGUGCAAUGGCAUAAGCCAGCUUGACUGCGAGCGUGACGGCGCGAGCAGGUGCGAAAGCAGGUCAUAGUGAUCCGGUGGUUCUGAAUGGAAGGGCCAUCGCUCAACGGAUAAAAGGUACUCCGGGGAUAACAGGCUGAUACCGCCCAAGAGUUCAUAUCGACGGCGGUGUUUGGCACCUCGAUGUCGGCUCAUCACAUCCUGGGGCUGAAGUAGGUCCCAAGGGUAUGGCUGUUCGCCAUUUAAAGUGGUACGCGAGCUGGGUUUAGAACGUCGUGAGACAGUUCGGUCCCUAUCUGCCGUGGGCGCUGGAAGACUGAGGGGGGCUGCUCCUAGUACGAGAGGACCGGAGUGGACGCAUCACUGGUGUUCGGGUUGUCAUGCCAAUGGCACUGCCCGGUAGCUAAAUGCGGAAAAGAUAAGUGCUGAAAGCAUCUAAGCACGAAACUUGCCCCGAGAUGAGUCUUCCCUGAGACCUUGAGUCUCCUGAAGGAACGUUAAAGACGAUGACGUUGAUAGGCCGGGUGUGUAAGCGCAGCGAUGCGUUGAGCUAACCGGUACUAAUGAACCGUGAGGCUUAACCUUAC
rnacentral:rRNA from 1 species